CUGGGUAUACUUUGCUACAGACGGAAUUCUGAUGAGGAUGUUCUUAGUUUUUCUUACAUAAUCUGCUUCUUUUCAAUAAGUCUGUCUGUGAUUACAGUGGCAGCCAACAAUACAUAGUGACUCAAUGAGCUACCACGCAGAUGACUCAUCAGAUCUGCUAAGGUGACUGCAAGGCCAUCAAGACCUACAGGUUUCUGUCAGCCUAAUGACGAGGUGAGUGAUCACAGACAGCGCUUCUAAUUUGCAGUUGAUGCUGUCAAGACAGCACAUACUUUGAGAUUUUAUCACCUUCUGGACAACAGUCUGAGGGAACAAUAAGGAGAGCACGUGACAUUGGACUGUGAUGUUACUCUCCCUUUGACAUGCAGAAGUUUCGCAGAACCAGCUCUACCGAACCUUAUGUGAAUUCCCUGGGCUGCACACAACUCUGCACGAUCUGCAGAGGGGGCCUGGCAGUGCCUGCUUGGCUCUGAAGACAACAGCAAAAAGCUGACAUAGUUUUUAGACUGGCUAUUUCACGUUUAGAAGCUGGAAAGUCUUACAUGUUCAGCCCUAGUCCAGUUUUUUUCCAAUUUUUUUUCAGGUUAGUGCUAAAAUUCACUGAAAGUUAAAGCAAGAGUAAGUCCAAAAGGAAAAAAAUAUGUAUAUAUAUAUAUAUAUAUUCUAUGAAAUGAACUUCAUACAAAAAAAGUUACAGUGUAAUCCUGUCCAAUAGGCCAUUGCUGCUAGGCACAAGUUUAUACAUAGUCAUUGCCAUCGCAGGGUGUUUGUCUACAGAGUCCAUCCUUUCCUGCAACAGAAGGAAU
rnacentral:lncRNA from 1 species